rnacentral:rRNA from 1 species
UACAUAGGUCUCAAGCGUUGUUCGGAAUCACUGGGCUUAAAGGGCGCGUAGGCGGGCUGCCAAGUUUGGGGUGAAAUCCUCCGGCUCAACCGGGGAAGGGCCUCGAAUACUGGCGGUCUGGAGGGAGGUAGGGGCGUGCGGAACUGUAGGUGGAGCGGUGAAAUGCGUUGAUAUCUACAGGAACUCCGGUGGCGAAGGCGGCACGCUGGACCUUUUCUGACGCUGAGGCGCGAAAGCCAGGGGAGCGAACGGG